ACGAACGCUGGCGGCGUGCCUAAUACAUGCAAGUCGAGCGAACGGACGAGAAGCUUGCUUCUCUGAUGUUAGCGGCGGACGGGUGAGUAACACGUGGAUAACCUACCUAUAAGACUGGGAUAACUUCGGGAAACCGGAGCUAAUACCGGAUAAUAUUUUGAACCGCAUGGUUCAAAAGUGAAAGACGGUCUUGCUGUCACUUAUAGAUGGAUCCGCGCUGCAUUAGCUAGUUGGUAAGGUAACGGCUUACCAAGGCAACGAUGCAUAGCCGACCUGAGAGGGUGAUCGGCCACACUGGAACUGAGACACGGUCCAGACUCCUACGGGAGGCAGCAGUAGGGAAUCUUCCGCAAUGGGCGAAAGCCUGACGGAGCAACGCCGCGUGAGUGAUGAAGGUCUUCGGAUCGUAAAACUCUGUUAUUAGGGAAGAACAUAUGUGUAAGUAACUGUGCACAUCUUGACGGUACCUAAUCAGAAAGCCACGGCUAACUACGUG
rnacentral:rRNA from 1 species